rfam:Bacillus sp. MTM 13 178, whole genome shotgun sequence.
UAACCUAUUUAGUGAUAAAUAGCUGAACAGUCAGAAGUCAGCAGAAGUCAUAGUACCAAUGGUAU